UUCCAUUUUAUUUAUUUAUUUUUCUAUUUACAUUAUUUUUUUUAUUAUAUUAUAUUUUUUAUUUAUUUAUUUAUUCAGUCAGUCAGUCAGUCAGUCAGUCAGUCAGUUAGUUAGUUAGUUUUAAAAUCAGAUGUUCAAUACCAUAAUUAUGUGAUAAGUCUGUGUCCGAUCAGCCCAUCAGCACACACUCUUUCUAAAUCGGUCGUUCACACACACUCAGAGGGAAACCUAUUUUCUGCCUGCCUCUCUAUCUCUCCUCCUUUGCCUCAGGCUACAUCAUGAUGACCUCAAGAGCCAUUUAUUAACAUGGAUUAGAUGUCGACAGGAACCAAACCUGGCAGAAAAGCUCCCCCCUCUCUCUCCCCCUCUCUCUCCCCAUUCAGAGGCCUGACACAGAGAUUAAGAUAAAAGGAGAGACAGAUAGAGAGAAGAAGAGACGGAGGGAUGUAUGAGAGCGGAAGAAAGAUUGACCAUCCUUGGCCCUCUCCUGGUUCAUCAUUCAAAGGGCCGAGGGUUUGAUUUCCUCUCUGUGCUCCGGAUGAGCCAUCAAUAACUGCGCUGUUAAAGUCAGACAGACAGAGACCGACUCUCCGUCUUUUGUGGAGAGGAAAGUAAACCUGCUCUUGAAAUAGCUCUUCUAUUCAAACAACUAUCAAAUGUUCAAACAAGUGAUCAGAUCACAAAGAAACACCAGCAGAAAUCUAAAGAGCUGCAGGAGAGGAGGAUCAUUCUGAACUUUAGUGUCCCUGUUUUAUGAUUGUUUGCUGUUCUUCUGUCUGCCUCUGAGAAAGAAACGUCCAGAUUCGCAGCUUCAUGUUUUUAUUUAUUUCAGGACCAGGUCUCCAUCUCAUUUUUCUCUGUUUCAGAGAGUCAGCUCUGGUUCAGCUGCUCUCUUAGUAACAGGUCUCCACGCAUUCUGUCCCUUUCUCCACAGGGGGCGCCAAAGUGGACAAUCAAGAGACAAAAUAUGUUUUUAAAAAGUUUUUAAAAAAUUUUGUUUGCCAACUUCAAAGUUUUUGCUCGUUUUCCAGCCUGAAUCGGCCUCCUUCUGGACGGUAACUCUGAUUUCUUUAAUCAAAGUUGUUCUAGAACUUCUCAAAAAUCGGAGGAAUUAUACAAAAAAAUACAAAAA